rnacentral:rRNA from 1 species
GAACAUAAACUUUAUGUGUGUGCUCUCCAGCCGCCCGGUUAGCCGUGCGCUGGUGUUGUGCCAUGUCUUAACAAUAAACGACUGUCGGCAACGGAUAUCUCGGCUCUCGCAUCGAUGAAGAACGUAGCGAAAUGCGAUACUUGGUGUGAAUUGCAGAAUCCCGUGAACCAUCGAGUUUUUGAACGCAAGUUGCGCCCGAAGCCUUUGGCUGAGGGCACGUCUGCCUGGGCGUCACGCAUCGCGUCUCCCCCAAAUCCACCUAGGUGGAGGGGAAGGAGGAUGGUUUCCCAUGGCUCACCGGCCACGGUUAGCCUAAAAUAGGAGCCCUCGGCAUCGGGUUGCCGCGGCGAUAGGUGGUGAACAAGGCUUCGGCCAAGCAAGCAACCCGUCGCGCACCGCCAUGCCAACGUGAGCUCGAAGGACCCUUUCAUGUUGCCCAAAAGCAACAAAACCGUUGCG